rnacentral:rRNA from 1 species
AGGGAUUCGCCCCAGUAGCGGCGAGUGAAGCGGCAAGAGCUCAGAUUUGAAAUCGUGCUUCGGCACGAGUUGUAGAAGUGUAGGUGGGAGUCUCUGCGGAGCACAGUGUCCAAGUCCCUUGGAACAGGGCGCCUGAGAGGGUGAGAGCCCCGUGGGGCGCUGUGCGAAGCUCUGAGGCCCUGCUGACGAGUCGAGUUGUUUGGGAAUGCAGCUCUAAGCGGGUGGUAAAUUCCAUCUAAGGCUAAAUACUGGCGAGAGACCGAUAGCGAACAAGUACUGUGAAGGAAAGAUGAAAAGCACUUUGAAAAGAGAGUGAAACAGCACGUGAAAUUGUUGAAAGGGAAGGGUAUUGGGCCCGACAUGGGGAGUGCGCACCGCUGUCUCUUGUAGGCGGCGCUCUGGGCGCUCUCUGGGCCAGCAUCGGUUCCCGCUGCGAGAGAAUGGGUGCCGGAAAGUGGCUCUUCGGAGUGUUAUAGCCGGCGCCAGAUGUCGCGUGUGGGGACCGAGGACUGCGGCUUCUGUCUCGGAUGCUGGCACAACGGCGCAAUACCGCCGUCUUGAAACAC